AUUGAACGCUGGCGGCAGGCUUAACACAUGCAAGUCGAGCGGUAGCACAAGAGAGCUUGCUCUCUGGGUGACGAGCGGCGGACGGGUGAGUAAUGUCUGGGAAACUGCCUGAUGGAGGGGGAUAACUACUGGAAACGGUAGCUAAUACCGCAUAACGUCGCAAGGCCAAAGAGGGGGACCUUCGGGCCUCUUGCCAUCAGAUGUGCCCAGAUGGGAUUAGCUAGUAGGUGGGGUAAUGGCUCACCUAGGCGACGAUCCCUAGCUGGUCUGAGAGGAUGACCAGCCACACUGGAACUGAGACACGGUCCAGACUCCUACGGGAGGCAGCAGUGGGGAAUAUUGCACAAUGGGCGCAAGCCUGAUGCAGCCAUGCCGCGUGUGUGAAGAAGGCCUUCGGGUUGUAAAGCACUUUCAGCGAGGAGGAAGGUGGUGAACUUAAUACGUUCAUCAAUUGACGUUACUCGCAGAAGAAGCACCGGCUAACUCCGUG
rnacentral:rRNA from 1 species